rnacentral:rRNA from 1 species
UACGUAGGUGGCAAGCGUUGUCCGGAUUUACUGGGUGUAAAGGGCGUGUAGCCGGGCUGACAAGUCAGAUGUGAAAUCCGGGGCUCAACCCCGGACCUGCAUUUGAAACUGUUGGUCUUGAGUAUCGGAGAGGCAGGCGGAAUUCCUAGUGUAGCGGUGAAAUGCGUAGAUAUUAGGAGGAACACCAGUGGCGAAGGCGGCCUGCUGGACGACAACUGACGGUGAGGCGCGAAAGCGUGGGGAGCAAACAGG